GUUUAACAGUUUUGAUAAUUUUAUUACAGAAUAAUUCAGUAGGUAUAUUAAUAUAUAUUGUUUAAACAAUAAUUGUAAUAUUAAAAAAACAUUAAGUACCUAGGUACUUGUAUAUUAAUAUUUAUUGAAAUUCAAAUGAUUUAAUUAUAGCCAAUGACAAACAUUAGGUAUUACCAUGGUUGCAGACAGCGGUGGCACGGUGAUAAGAAUAAUAUUGUGUCAGCAACUAUCAUUACCACGAAUUAUGAUAUCUUAAACCACGGAUAUACUAAUGUAUUUUUCUAUUUUUCCGACUUUUCUUCGCUUUUAUUUUUUUUAACUGCUUUUUGAGAGUUUAUGCCGCCCAACUGCUAUCAUAUAGUAGUACCAAUCUACAUCACGCCACCUGUCUCGAACUAGGUCCUUCCAGUUCACAAUAACUGGACAUUCAGAGUCCUCUCUUACACCAUCUAACCAUCUCUUCUGAAAAUAAGCGUACAAAAAAAAACCAUGUAUAAUAAUAAUUAUGUAUUUACUAUUUACCUAAAUGAAAUGCAUUAAAUUAGGUAGUAUAUUAUUGUUAUUAUUUUUGAACUUAUU